GAUCGGAUGAUCUGUGUUAUCGAUUUCCGAUGAUUUCUGACGUUUCCGACCAUUUCCGACGGAUACCACAGAUUCUUUUUUGUAGACAUAAAACUGAUAAAUAAAACGAAAAACGUAGAUUUUGGGAACUGGGAAAGUGGGAAUAUUUAAUACAUUUUUAAUAGGAACAAUAUACAAUUUUCGAAAACUGCUGAAAGAUGAGAGCCUACCUGACAAAUUAGAUGAGAUCACAAAGAGAGUGUGAGUGAACACUUAGCCAAGACGUGCCACAGCCACAACACUACCUACCUACCAAUAGUGAUUAAUUUAUUAUUUUAUGAACCUAAUGAACAAUCAAUCAAGGGCAAUUCUACAAAAGUAUACUUACUACUAAAGAGAAACAUUAAUGGUUAAGUAGUUGCCAAAUUCUGGAAAGGAGUCCCACUAAUGUGUUUAUGAAGUUAAUUUGUACAGAGGAAAGAAAAACAAUUAAUUAUAAUUCAAAGUUGCUUUAUAACAGUCUAUGUAACAAUAAACUGAUUGGAUUAUCAAGAGUAAUUAAAUUAUUAAUUUUAUGUAGGUGUCAAAAUGGGUUCAAUAAUAAUAAUUUGAUGAGUUAAAUAAAUCCUUAAUCAAGAAAUUAA